rnacentral:rRNA from 1 species
AGUGAACGCUGGCGGUAGGCCUAACACAUGCAAGUCGAACGGUAGCACAGGAGAGCUUGCUCUCUGGGUGGCGAGUGGCGGACGGGUGAGGAAUACAUCGGAAUCUGCCCAGUCGUGGGGGAUAACGUAGGGAAACUUACGCUAAUACCGCAUACGACCUUCGGGUGAAAGAGGGGGAUCGCAAGACCUCUCGCGAUUGGAUGAGCCGAUGUCGGAUUAGCUAGUUGGCGGGGUAAUGGCCCACCAAGGCGACGAUCCGUAGCUGGUCUGAGAGGAUGAUCAGCCACACUGGAACUGAGACACGGUCCAGACUCCUACGGGAGGCAGCAGUGGGGAAUAAUGGACAAUGGGCGCAAGCCUGAUCCAGCCAUACCGCGUGGGUGAAGAAGGCCUUCGGGUUGUAAAGCCCUUUUGUUGGGAAAGAAAUCUUUCAGGCUAAUACCCUGGGAGGAUGACGGUACCCAAAGAAUAAGCACCGGCUAACUUCGUG